UUUCAAAAUAACCUUUGUUCAGGGAUCUGAAAGAGCUGAGUACUCCGCUGCCAGGACUGCCCCUGGCUGGGCAGGUGGGGGCAGAGAUUUCAGAGCCAAGAGACUCAAGUGGCUACUUGGAAAGAGGGGAUGUGGCAGUCUCGGUGGCACCAGAAAACCCGGGCUCUGCCAGAAGCGGGAGGGGAAGACACUGACUUCAGCAAAAUGGGGACAAGGACCUCCACGUUGCAAGAAGAAGGAACAAGGCACACUUGGCACCUGCCACCUGUUCACGUCUCCACAAGUGGUGGCGACUGUUGUUGGUAUUAUUAUGAUGUGACCGUCUCCCACUCUCUCUUGGCCAGUCUGGCGGCAGCAUCCAUCUGAUUCCUACCUUGUGACUGUAUUCGAACAGAGACUGGCUCUUACCUGCCUGCUGGAUGGAGGCUCACAGAGGCUAAGGGCCCAGGACCACAGGUUAGUGGGUGUGGAGCUGGGCUUUGAAGUCUGACCCAUAGUCCUUAUCCCUGGAAAAUGGGAAAAAACAGCAUUAGGGAAUUCACAAGAGAAGUUUUCUCAGGCUUUUGCUUAAGAGUGGGAACUGGCAGGUCUGGGCUGGCCCUAACCGGACACCAGGCUCCCAGCGUCCAGCACACAGCACAUUUAUAGAAAGUACCAGCUUGCCGUUUUCCUGAUCAGCGGGGACUGCACAGUAGGAUGGAAACGUGCCCUGGAGAUGUGGGCGUUGGAGCUCCUGAUAAAGGGGCUGGCGGUGGAGGAAGUGCUCAGAGGGUGCUGGGCGAGCAGGAAGUGGGAGCUGUUUCUAGCGCAGAGGAUGUGGCUCAAGACAAGGUAUGAGAAAUGAAAGUCAAGGAGGAAGUAGAAGUGGGAUCCGUAGGUGCCUUGAGGACAAGGAAGUGGCUUUGUUACCAAAGGUGGAAGGAGAAAUAGUCUUGUAAUGUCUGCAGGGGGAGGCGAUGGGACCUGCAGGUCGCCCUUUGCCUUGUGGAGAGUCUCGGCCAGCCCAGUGCUCAGAGAAGACACCCUGAAGGAGAAAUGUCCCUUCUUUUGUUUGUUUUAAUCUUGCAAAAUUUCUUCUUCUGCUUCAUCUUCUUUUGUUUUAAGGUAUAGUCGAGUUACAAUGUUAUGCUAGUUUCUGCUGCACAGCAAAGUGACCCAGUCAUACAGGUAUAUACAUCCUUCUCCCAUUAUCCUCCAGCACCUUCUGUCACAAGGGAUUGGAUAGAGGUCCCUGUGUUGCACAGUAGGAGGACCUCAUGCGUAUCCAUUCUACAUGGAAGAGUUUGCACCUACCACCCAGAAAACGCCCCGUCCAUCCCAUUCCCUCCCCCUCCCCCUUGGCAACCACAAGUCUGUUCUCCAUGUCUGCAAGUCUGUAGGAACUUAUCUAUAGAACAGAAAUGUCACUUCUGAAGGCAAUGGGACAUGGAGUUCAGAUGGGUUGUGUUGGCUGCCUUGGGCUUGACUUUUAGUUCUCUGGCCGGGUGGGCGGUCCCCAGGGAUGUGCCAGGUCCCUGGGAGCCACUCCAGGGAGGCAGCUCUGGUUUCCCUUGAGGCCAAGGUGGUUCAUAAAAAUCCACUACGCAGGGAGCACUAACCAUGCCCUAGAGUUUACAGAUAUUAAACAAUGUCAUUCUCACAUUAAUUCCACGAAGUGGGCAAAUGCUAUUACUUAUAUUUUACAGAGAUGAGGCAGCUGGGAGUCGCCAUAUCUAGGUCAUUCGUCCCAGAGUAGAGGUGUUCUGGCAAGUUGAUUGCAACCAGAUCUCUGUGGCCAGAAUCAGUAUUCUUUCUGCCAAGCUGCUUGUUCCCAUAAAGGUCUACCUUAGAAAAAUUUCUCCCCUGUGUAUCAACAAGGAGCAUCAUCAGAGGCGAUUUUCGGGUUAAGGGUCCUUCUGAAAAUUAGAUGAAAGCUAGGACAUAAGAGCACAUAUGCUUUUCAAUUUGGGGGAUUGAAGAGCCUCUGAAGUGUAUCUAUAUGCAUCUGAAUGUCUACAGACCCAUUUCAGAAACUCCUGAGAUAAGGAAAAGGAAAGAAGUCAGAGAAGAAAGAAGCCUCAACGGAAACAGAAUUAAAAGUUGAAUUGUCAGCACAAUCUCAACCUUCUGAAUGUGUUGCUUUGAGUACAACAAGCUUCAAUACACAGGGUUGUGUUAUCUCACUGUAUAAAUAUUCUUCUUAUUCAUAACGUACAUGUGACAAUGACAACUCCUUUGAUCAUUCUACAGGUAUAUAUUUUUCCUCCCAUAAGACUCAAAACAUAAAAUAAUUUAUAAUAAUCUAUAGAAAAGCUUAAACUAGGGCAUCACUUCCUCUUCCUUUCCAACUCAGGUGUUUCACGGUCAAGGUCAUCAUCCAUUCUUCUAAGCCAUUCUUCCAGGAUCAUCCAGAAUCAUUUGGCAAUAUAGUUACAUUAAUCUUAUGAGGACUUCCAUCUCAUUGGAAUAUGGUACUUUGCAUAUGUUUUACUAAACUUAUUAUUUCUUUGAUACCACUUUCAAUCGUACUUAAAAUGCUCAGGCACAGAGAAUCCUGGGCUGCUGGGGAUGGAAACCACAGAAGAUGGGGAAACAAAAGUAAGAAGGUUUGAGCUGGAUGAUUUCUGAGGCAAAGAGAGGUUAAACUGAUAGUUUCAAGGCUACCUGUCAAAUUGCUGGCAGAGCUGAGAUGAGAACCCCAGUGUCCAGACUUCUUUCAGGAUUCUGUUCAUUGCAACAUGUCUGGACAUGCAUUUGUUCAAUGUGUGGCCGGAUGGAGUUUUUUUCUAACCCCUUUCUCCUUCCUUUUGCAUCCCUGGCAGGGAGGGGAUCUUUGAUUACAUGGGGGAAGGCCCAGAGGCUUUGUUAGCAGAGACCCCUGACUCAAGAUGAAGACCAUGGCCAUGGUCAGAGAAAGGUGCCCUGGUCUGGGAUGUAUCGGUAGAACCUACUUCUGUCUCUGGGGUUGGGGCCAGAAGUAAUGGGCAUCCCUACCCCAAGGACACUGGAGUGCAGCUCCAGGAAGGGGUGGCAUCCCAGGGGUCCAGAGGGGUCCAGAGGCAUGUGGGGGAGGGAGAGAGGCCAGCGGGCCAUUAAGGAAAGGUGCUCUGUGAGGUAGACCCUGGGUAGAUGGAAAGGUGGUCUCGCGAGCGACGGCUCUGUGUACAUUUGGAUCUGUUUGAAAUGGAGUGGAGAGCUUGGCGGUCAGCGUAUGAUGAGCACACUGGGGACCAGGUCCUGUGCGAAGGUCUCCAGGAGCAGAAGUCAGGAUCUCCACUUUCAAGUUUCUAACCUCAGAGGUGGAUGUGGCGAGGCACCAGAUUUAGCCCCUUAACCUUCCAUGCUUUGUAUUUUCUGACUUUGCCCCCUUUCAAUCGGCUUGACACCUGGCUCGAGAUUCAGUUCACACAACCUUGAAUAACUUUUUAGAGCCUUAGUUUCCUUGCUGGCCACCUCGAGCUUCUUCCUGUCUCUAAAAAAUUAGAAAUAACCCACUUGGAAAGUAUAACUUGAAUGAAAGGAGCUGAAGAACAUGGCGUCAAUCAGAUCCCAGCAUGACCUUAUCCAAGGAAAGAGUGCAUCUUUCAGAAGGAGAACCAGCCAUACUGGAAGCAGAGGGAAAGGACCCAGGGAGCAGACACUGAUGUCUAGUCUCUCUAGGGAGAGUCCCUCGCCAGGGACCGUCAUCUCCAGCACUGACGAUGCCCUGUUAUGGGAACAAGAACACUUGACAUCAGGAUACAUUCAAGCCAGGACACGUUCAAUUCCCCCUGCUCUGGCUCUGGGCUCACCAAGCAAACUUCUGGUUAUAAUUUGGCUUCCCAUGUAAUUUGCCUGCAAGGAGCAGAUGUUUGGCCAGAGGAAGUAAAUGCUGGUGCCCUAGGCAGUCGCCUUUUAUUUGAACAAUAAAUUAAUACAUUGG
rnacentral:lncRNA from 1 species